UACGGGGGGGGCAAGCGUUGUUCGGAAUUACUGGGCGUAAAGGGCUCGUAGGCGGCCAACUAAGUCGGAUGUGAAAUCCCCAGGCUCAACCUGGGAACUGCAUCCGAUACUGGAUGGCUUGAAUCCGGGAGAGGGAUGCAGAAUUCCAGGUGUAGCGGUGAAAUGCGUAGAUAUCUGGAGGAACACCUGUGGCGAAGGCGGCUUUCUGGGCCUUACCUGACGCUGAGACGCGAAAGCGUGGGGAGCGAACCGG
rnacentral:rRNA from 1 species